GAGUAGGAUGUAGCCACAUGAAUAAAGAUUCUGAGCUUGCAUGCAACUGCUUUCGAGUGAUCUGUUGUGUUCCAAAUGCAUCCUUAUGAAACAGCAGCCAUAGGCCUCUGAUACCUCAGAAAGAGAGAUCUUUUGCAGUAAAGAACAUUAAUUCUGUGGUGCUGUUAUACUCCCCAAAAGCUUCUGCAACCCUGAGCCAGCAUCUAAAAAGAAGGAGGGGAACUGGGGUAUAAGUUUUAGGUGCAGGUGGUGGAAUUCUCACUGGACCUGGAAAUUCAAACCAUGGCAACUUUGGAGGCAAGAUUCCCAGGCUGGAUGUGUAGGCAGCCAAACAGGAAAACCAAAGAAGCCAGCAAGCUUGGAAUUUGAGCCUAAAUUGGGGGUUGUGAUGAGGGGUGUUUGCAUUUGGAAAUUGGAACUGGGCUGCAUAAGAAUGAAGCUAAACUGUAAACCUAAGCCCCUCUGACUCCUAAGAGUAUAAAAUGACAAAGGUGGGGUUUAUGAUCCCAGAUAUUGGGGGGGGACAUAUGUUUGUAUGUUUAUUAUUUCUAUUCCUUUGAAGUAAAUAUAAAUGUUCCUUUGGAAAAACUAUUGAAAUUGUUAAAUGGCUAAAUAGAACUGAGAUUCAGCUAACCUCCUGCAAUUAGGAACAUGUGAUUGGAGGGAUCUGGAGCCAAUGGCAGAAUGGCAUCCCUAAGCUCCCUUAAAAAUAUUGAAGAAAUAUUGAGAGUGGUGAUGGUAAAAAUUAACAUACUUGUCUUUCAGGCAGUAAGGACAUUGGUACAUUGAAAGGUUGAGUCCACAGGAGUUCCCCACUGAUUGAAUAUGACAGCUAGAGUGAGGAAUCAAGGGUGAAAACUCAAAUUGUGAGUCUACGGGGUUGGGAAAAUAAUUAUAGCCUCCACAGUAAUAGGGAAGUUAAGAACACUGGAGAGAUAAGGAGUAAGUGUGAGUAAAGUUUUAGUUUAAUUUAAGAUAUCUAUGAAACUAUCUGUUGAAACUAUCUAAUAAGCAGUUGGAGCUGCCGGUCAAACUGGAGAUUGGGAGGGAAGUGAGAAAUAGACAAGUAGGUUUGAGAGUCAUCUGCUUAGAGAUGAUAAAUGAAAACAAAAGAGCUGAUUAGAUUUCCAAAUGAAAUAUUAUAAAAAGUAUAAUGAGAGAAGAAAAGAGAGCCCCGUUCAUAAUGGGUGUGACAUAGAUCCAGAGCCAAGCAAAAGAGACAGAGAAGGAGUGGUCAGACAAGUAGCAAAAUAAGGAUAAAGGAAUGUCAUGAAAAUGUAGAGAAAAGAGAGGAUCACAGAAAAGGAAGCAACUAACAGAGUCAAGAAUUUGAUACUGUGUUGACAAGUAUUUUAGUACAUGAAAAUGUAUCGGAAGGUGCAUUUAUGUUGUCUUUUCACUAUGUAACCUGUCAAGAAACAAAUGAAUAAAUUCUGCCGUAGUCCAA